CACAGAGUGUGUGCGCAGUGUAGUGCCAAAGCCCGGCCAGUCGCCGAAGUGUCCGUGCCGAACACGUGCUUCCGCUGAUAACGGACCACGGUGGCAGGCAGUCCUUUUAGCCGGUUCGUGUCCCAGUCUCCCUUCGGCGAUAGAACUCGGACUCGGACUCAAAUAUUCGCCAACAACAGCCCAUGUUGCAAUUUGCACGAGGUCGCCGUGACCGUUUAAAAUUCAACACCAGCCGUCACCGCACGCGACUGUAACAGUGCUCUCUAAAGUGUCCAAACUGAAGCCCACAGUGUAGGACGGUUGUGAGUCGAAUCUGCAUCUGCUCUGGGGGGGCCGGAAGUGCAAUCAAUCGAAGAUAGAAAAAAUAAGUGCAAAAGGCGGCCCGGUGGCCAAUCAAUAGUAGAUCACCUCUCGGCGGGUGGCCGCCCUGUGCGCCCAAACUGCACGUACUGCACGAGUGCACCGGAGUCCUUGGUGUAACUUGGUGCUCCAUACGGAACCGGCGAAAUGGCGAAACGUGGCAAUGAGUGAAGCGAGUGUCCCUAGCGCCCCAAGCAACGAUUCCAGGAAGCAACAUUCGCCCGAAAUCCGCCGCCCCCGAAGGACCUUAGUGGCCACCAGCGCUCCUGCAGUCGGAAUUUGACUGAUCCCAGAAGCUUCCCCAGCUCCCCGUGGGUUAACUAUUGGCAGAGUUCCCCGACGAAUAUGGGCCACUGCUUGGAGUAGCGUAAAAUUGGAAAAUUCUUUCGGCCCAAACCAGAAAAGCAACCAGGACUCCAAUCCUGGCGACGGUCACGUUACGGUCACCGCACACCGGUCACUGCGCGACACACAGGGACGCGUAAGUAACGUGCCGCAACAGCGGCCGAUUCCGUCGUACGAAGCUCAGCACCGGUGCCCAGCUCCGCCCGCCCGAGAUAUGGUCCGUCAUGGUGUCAACAAUUGGUGGCCCAUCUACUGUCGCUGCUGCUGCUGGCGCUGCUGCUACCGCUGCUGCCGUUACGGCGGCGAUCUCCAGCAGCACCGAUGCAACGCAGCUGUUCAUCAACACAACGCUUGACUCAUGUGCCCUUAAGUAUGAAGAGUUCGUUAUACCAACCACAGUUCCUUACUGCAACUGGACGUGGGAUAGCAUUCUGUGCUGGCCACCAACGCCGGCCAAUUUGACAAUAAGACAGCGAUGCCCUCCAGCACACGGAAUCGAUACCUCAAAGUUCGCCGAGCGACGAUGCAGUGCCGAGGGCCAGUGGGAAGGCAGACCGGGCACCCCACCGACCCUUUCCGGAUGGACCAACUAUACGCCCUGUUACAGCCCGGAAGUUAUACAACUGUUUAGAAAACUUUACGCCGGCGGCAGCGACGACGAAGCGAAUGUUAAAAUUGACAUUGCAGAGCGGACGCGUACGCUGGAGACCGUAGGAUUUAGCCUUUCCCUCGCAGCGCUGAUUAUUUCCUUGAUAAUAUUCUGCAAAUUCCGCGGGCUGCGGAACAACCGGACAAGAAUACACAAAAAUCUGUUCGUCGCCAUGGUGAUACAAGUGGUGAUCCGACUAACGCUAUACAUCGACCAAGCGAUCAUACGCAGUGGCGUGAAGAAGUUUGGCAACGAAAGUUCGCGGCAAGGAAUCGACAACACGCCAUUUUUGUGCGAAGCAUCGUACGUUCUGCUGGAGUACGCCAGGACCUGCAUGUUCAUGUGGAUGUUUAUAGAAGGAUUAUAUUUACACAACGUUGUCACGGUUACAGUAUUCCAAGGGAGGUUUCCCCAUACGUUUUAUGCUGCCGUUGGCUGGGGCGGACCGAUAGUGCUGACGGUCAUCUGGGCCAUCACGACCGCGCAGUACAUCCGGCAGCAGAAAUGCUGGUGGGGAUACAACCUGACGCCUUAUUACUGGAUUCUGGAAGGUCCAAGACUAGCAGUAGUCGUGUUGAAUUUCAUAUUUUUACUUAACAUUAUAAGAGUACUGAUCGUAAAGUUACGCCAAAGUCACACCAGCGACGUGGAGCAGGUUCGUAAAGCGGUCCGGGCGGCAGUCGUGCUCGUGCCACUGCUGGGUAUCACCAACAUACUCAACAUGACGCAGGCCCCUCUGGACAAGACGGCUCUGGAGUUUGCCAUCUGGUCGUACGUGACCCAUUUUCUCACCUCCUUCCAAGGAUUCUUCAUAGCGCUGCUGUACUGCUUCCUCAACGGUGAGGUUCGUACGGCGCUCAUGAAGAGCAUAAGCGUUUAUCUAUCGCUCCGCGGUCAUCACGAUUGGGCAGUGCGUAGACAGUCGCUCUUCUCGGCCGGCUAUCCGACGGCUCCCGUCAUUGAUGCACCACAACACACGGUAGACACCAAUCGAAUCGCUGCCCGAAACGCCACCGAUAACCUGCUGGCGACCGGUGGCAACAACAAACACACCGCCAACGGAGGUUCAACCAGCAAUGGAGGCAACUGCAGCGGUGGUAACGGCUGGUUCAGCCGUUGGUUUUUAGUACAAAAAAAUGUCAAUCCGGCCGCCCCGGAACCGGCGCCACCCGAGUCAGUGGUUUUCGAUAUUUCCGAUUAACGUCAUCCGUCCUUCUGUUCCGUUCUGUUUCGUUUCGUGUCACACUUUAUCGUUUCCUGACCAGUGUGUGAUGGCCUGUUCCGGAAAGCGGUGGAGCAACACGCACGAUUAUCGAAGAGACUUUUCGUACAGCUUUACUCGAUGACGAGCAUCAUCAUCAUAAUCACCAACCAGAGCAACUUUCAUGGGAGUGCGCACCAGAGAACGUAGUAUUUAGCGCUUCCGCCAUCAUGGACGAACCGCGGGACACAUACGCAGAGUAAUUUUACACAACGAUGCACCACGCGCUACCGUGCCCGCGUACGGUAUCCGAUUUGUUCCGAGAAGCCUGCUUUUUAAUUCUGUGCGCCGCGUGGCGCACGAAGGUGUCAGUAGUUAGUAAGAAAAUGAGCGAUGGUCUGAUCAUUGCGAUGCAACCGACGAACGAAUCAAAUUAUGAUAUACAAAUUUGCCGGCGGAAAACGCUUUGUACGCGCCCCACUUGCUGCACUGCAUAAGUACAUAAUAUAUUUUUGCGAUUGCGUGUAACAAAAGGGCCUGCGAACCAAAUGUCGAUUGAUUUUUGUCGAUUUCAUAUCUGUCGUCGUGUCGGGUGAUAAAAGAGUAAAACUAUUUGCCGCACAACAAACCGGAGGGGCAAACACGGCGCACGAGAAUCCACACGGAUUUGAGGCGUUCUUUGAUUAAUUUAUAUUUAAGAAAACUGUAAUU